rnacentral:rRNA from 1 species
UACGGGGGGAGCAAACGUUGUUCGGAAUCACUGGGCUUAAAGCGCGUGUAGGCGGGACGGCGAGUGUCGGGUGAAAGCCCUCGGCUCAACCGAGGAACGGCCUGGCAUACUGCUGUUCUUGAGGUAGACAGAGGUCACUGGAACGACGGGUGGAGCGGUGAAAUGCGUAGAUAUCCGUUGGAACGCCGGCGGCGAAAGCGAGUGACUGGGUCUGUCCUGACGCUGAGACGCGAAAGCGUGGGUAGCAAACAGG